rnacentral:rRNA from 1 species
CGACCGGCGCACGGGUGAGUAACACGUAUGGAACCUGCCCUAUGCAGGGGGAUAAGCGGAAGAAAUUCCGUCUAAUACCGCAUAACACCUUUAGGAGACAUCUUCUUGGGGUCAAAGGAGGCGACUCCGGCAUAGGAUGGCCAUGCGUCGCAUUAGCUAGUCGGCGGGGUAACGGCCCACCGAGGCGACGAUGCGUAGGGGUUCUGAGAGGAAGGUCCCCCACACUGGUACUGAGGCACGGACCAGACUCCUACGGAAGGCAGCAG